rnacentral:rRNA from 1 species
CGCUGAGUUUGAUCCUGGCUCAGGAUGAACGCUAGCGGCAGGCUUAACACAUGCAAGUCGAGGGGUAUAGUUCUUCGGAACGUAGAGACCGGCGCACGGGUGCGUAACGCGUAUGCAAUCUACCUUUUACAGAGGGAUAGCCCAGAGAAAUUUGGAUUAAUACCUCAUAGUAUGUGAGAAUCGCAUGGUUUUCACUAUUAAAGUUCCAACGGUAAAAGAUGAGCAUGCGUCCCAUUAGCUAGAUGGUAAAGGUAACGGCUUACC